rnacentral:rRNA from 1 species
CCUACGGUGUGCAGCAGUGAGGAAUAUUGGUCAAUGGGCGAGAGCCUGAACCAGCCAAGUCGCGUGAUGGAUGAAGGACCUAUGGUUUGUAAACUUCUUUUAUAUGGGAAUAAAGUGAGGAACGUGUUCCCUUUUGUAUGUACCAUAUGAAUAAGCAUCGGCUAACUCCGUGCCAGCAGCCGCGGUAAUACGGAGGAUGCGAGCGUUAUCCGGAUUUAUUGGGUUUAAAGGGUGCGUUGGUGGUUAAUUAAGUACGCGGUGAAAGUUUGUGGCUCAACCAUAAAAUUGCCGUUGAAACUGGUUGACUUGAGUAUAUGUGAGGUAGGCGGAAUGCGUGGUGUAGCGGUGAAAUGCAUAGAUAUCACGCAGAACUCCGAUUGCGAAGGCAGCUUACUAAACUAUAACUGACGCUGAAGCACGAAAGCGUGGGGAUCGAACAGGAUUAGAUACCCGGGUAGUC